rnacentral:rRNA from 1 species
GGCGGCAUGCUUAACACAUGCAAGUCGAACGUGAAAGUUCCUUCGGGAAUGAGUAAAGUGGCGGACGGGUGAGUAAUGCGUAGGAAUCUGCCCUGCAGUGGGGGACAACCUGGGGAAACUCAGGCUAAUACCGCAUACGUCCUAUGGGAGAAAGCGGGCCUCUGCUUGCAAGCUCGUGCUGCAGGAUGAGCCUACGUCGGAUUAGCUAGUUGGUAAGGUAAUGGCUUACCAAGGCGACGAUCCGUAGCUGGUCUGAGAGGAUGAUCAGCCACACUGGGACUGAGACACGGCCCAGACUCCUACGGGAGGCAGCAGUGGGGAAUAUUGGACAAUGGGCGAAAGCCUGAUCCAGCAAUGCCGCGUGGGUGAAGAAGGCCUGCGGGUUGUAAAGCCCUUUCAGUGGGGAGGAUGGGAUGCUGUGUUAAUAGCAUAGCAUCUUGACGUUACCCACAGAAGAAGCACCGGCUAACUCCGUG